GAGGGCAUAGCUCAGUGGUAGAGCACAUGCUUAGCAUGCACAAGGUCCUGAGUUCAAUCCCCAGUACUUCUA
rnacentral:tRNA from 1 species